GUUUGUUUGGAGUUAUAAAAAAUUUAACCUGCCCCCUGAUUAAUUAUUUAAAGGGCCGCAGUAUUAUAACUGUGCAAAGGUAGCAUAAUCAUUAGGUUUUUAAUUGAAAUCUCGUAUGAAUGGUUGGACAAAAGAAGAACUCUCUUUAUGUUAAGUUUUGAAUUUAACUUUUAAGUGAAAAGGCUUAAAUAUUCUAAAGGGACGAUAAGACCCUAUAAAACUUUACAUUGUUAUUAAUUUUGAUUGAAUUUAUGAAAUAAGAAUUUUAUUUGAUUAUUUGUUAUGUUGGGGAGACAUAAGUAAAAAUUUUUUAACUGCUUUGACAAUUAUACAAUUAUUAGUGAAUAAGUAAAAGAUCCUUUUUUAAGAUUAGUAGAUUAAGUUACUUUAGGGAUAACAGUGUAAUUUCUUUUGAGAGUUCUUAUCGGAAAAGAAGAUUGCGACCUCGAUGUUGAAUUAAAAUAUCUAUAUAGUGGAGAAAUUAUAUAAGAAGGUCUGUUCGACCUUGAAAAUUUUACAUGAUUUGAGUUCAAACCGGUGUAAG
rnacentral:rRNA from 1 species